UACGGAGGGGGCUAGCGUUGUUCGGAAUGACUGGGCGUAAAGGGCGCGUAGGCGGUUUAUUAAGUGAGGCGUGAAAGCCCUGGGCUUAACCCAGGAUGUGCGUUUCAUACUGAUAGGCUAGAGUGCGAGAGAGGAAAGUGGAAUUCCUAGUGUAGAGGUGAAAUUCGUAGAUAUUAGGAAGAACACCAGAGGCGAAGGCGGCUUUCUGGCUCGCAACUGACGCUGAGGCGCGAAAGCGUGGGGAGCAAACAGG
rnacentral:rRNA from 1 species